rnacentral:rRNA from 1 species
UACGUAGGGACCAAGCGUUGUUCGGAUUUACUGGGCGUAAAGAGCUCGUAGGCGGUUCGUCGCGUCGAAUGUGAAAACCCGGGGCUCAACUCCGGGCCUGCAUUCGAUACGGGCGGACUAGAGUUCGGUAGGGGAGACUGGAAUUCCUGGUGUAGCGGUGAAAUGCGCAGAUAUCAGGAGGAACACCGGUGGCGAAGGCGGGUCUCUGGGCCGAUACUGACGCUCAUGCACGAAAGCGUGGGGAGCAAACAGG